UACGUAGGGAGCAAGCGUUGUUCGGAUUUACUGGGCGUAAAGGGCGCGUAGGCGGCAAAUUAAGUCAGCUGUGAAACCUCCGAGCUUAACUCGGAACGGUCAGCUGAUACUGAUCUGCUAGAGUGCGGAAGGGGCAAUCGGAAUUCUUGGUGUAGCGGUGAAAUGCGUAGAUAUCAAGAGGAACACCUGAGGUGAAGACGGGUUGCUGGGCCGACACUGACGCUGAGUGCGCGAAAGCCAGGGGAGCAAACGGG
rnacentral:rRNA from 1 species